UGACACUGUACUAAUUAAUUUUAUUCUAUUGAUAUGUGACAGAUUUUGGCACGGAUCGACAUUGUUUUGGUAUGCUGAGAGUGAAAAGAGUGUAAAAAUGUGUACGCGGACUUGUUUUAUAAUUUUCUUAGUUUUUGGACUUAACUUGUGGUAUGUGGAAUGCAAUACUACGCAAACAUGUCCACAGAAUCUGAACCCAGCCUCCGGA
rnacentral:lncRNA from 1 species